UACGUAGGGUGCAAGCGUUAAUCGGAAUUACUGGGCGUAAAGCGUGCGCAGGCGGUGAUGUAAGACAGGUGUGAAAUCCCCGGGCUUAACCUGGGAACUGCAUUUGUGACUGCAUCGCUGGAGUGCGGCAGAGGGGGAUGGAGUUCCGCGUGUAGCAGUGAAAUGCGUAGAUAUGCGGAGGAACACCGAUGGCGAAGGCAAUCCCCUGGGCCUGCACUGACGCUCAUGCACGAAAGCGUGGGGAGCAAACAGG
rnacentral:rRNA from 1 species